rnacentral:rRNA from 1 species
AUUGAACGCUGGCGGCAUGCUUUACACAUGCAAGUCGAACGGUAACAGGCCGCAAGGUGCUGACGAGUGGCGAACGGGUGAGUAAUGCAUCGGAACGUGCCCAGCCGUGGGGGAUAACGCAGCGAAAGCUGUGCUAAUAACGCAUACGAUCUAUGGCUGAAAGCGGGGGACCGUAAGGCCUCGCGCGGUCGGAGCGGCCGAAGUCAGAUUAGGCAGUUGGUGGGGUAAGGGCUCACCAAGCCAACGAUAUGUAGCUGGUCUGAGAGGACGACCAGCCACACUGGGACUGAGGCACGGCCCAGACUCCUACGGGAGGCAGCAGUGGGGAAUUUUGGACAAUGGGCGCGAGCCUGAUCCAGCAAUGCCGCGUGCAGGAAGAAGUCCUUCGGGUUGUAAACUGCUUUUGUACGGAACGAAACGGCGAGCUCUAAUACAGUUUGCUAAAGACGUUACCGUAAGAAUAAGCACCGGCUAACUACGUGCCAGCAGCCGCCGUAA